GACGAACGCUGGCGGCGUGCUUAACACAUGCAAGUCGAACGGAAAGGCCCUGCAUUUGUGGGGUGCUCGAGUGGCGAACGGGUGAGUAACACGUGAGUAACCUGCCCUUGACUUUGGGAUAACUUCAGGAAACUGGGGCUAAUACCGGAUAGGAGCUCCUGCUGCAUGGUGGGGGUUGGAAAGUUUCGGCGGUUGGGGAUGGACUCGCGGCUUAUCAGCUUGUUGGUGGGGUAGUGGCUUACCAAGGCUUUGACGGGUAGCCGGCCUGAGAGGGUGACCGGCCACAUUGGGACUGAGAUACGGCCCAGACUCCUACGGGAGGCAGCAGUGGGGAAUAUUGCACAAUGGGCGGAAGCCUGAUGCAGCAACGCCGCGUGCGGGAUGACGGCCGUCGGGGUGUAAACCGCUUUCGCCUGUGACGAAGCGUGAGUGACGGUAAUGGGUAAAGAAGCACCGGCUAACUACGUG
rnacentral:rRNA from 1 species